GUGGAUGCCUUGACUGGUAAAGGCGAUGAAGGACGUACUAGACUGCGAUAAGCUACGGGGAGCUGUCAAGAAGCUUUGAUCCGUAGAUUUCCGAAUGGGGCAACCCAAUGUAUAGAGAUAUACAUUACCUAUAUAGGAGCGAACGAGGGGAAUUGAAACAUCUUAGUACCCUCAGGAAAAGAAAUCAAUAGAGAUUGCGUCAGUAGCGGCGAGCGAAAGCGUAAGAGGGCAAACCCAGUGCUUGCACUGGGGGUUGUAGGACUGCAAUGUGCAAGAGGUGAGUUUAGCAGAACAUUCUGGAAAGUAUAGCCAUAGAGGGUGAUAGUCCCGUAUGCGAAAAACAAACCUUAGCUAGCAGUAUCCUGAGUAGGGCGGGACACGAGAAAUCCUGUCUGAAGCUGGGUCGACCACGAUCCAACCCUAAAUACUAAUACCAGAUCGAUAGUGCACAAGUACCGUGAGGGAAAGGUGAAAAGAACUGAGGUGAUCAGAGUGAAAUAGAACCUGAAACCAUUUGCUUACAAUCAUUCAGAGCACUAUGUAGCAAUACAGUGUGAUGGACUGCCUUUUGCAUAAUGAGCCUGCGAGUUGUGGUGUCUGGCAAGGUUAAGCAAACGCGAAGCCGUAGCGAAAGCGAGUCUGAAUAGGGCGCUUAGUCAGAUGCUGCAGACCCGAAACGAAGUGAUCUAUCCAUGAGCAAGUUGAAGCUAGUGUAAGAACUAGUGGAGGACUGAACCCAUAGGCGUUGAAAAGCCCCGGGAUGACUUGUGGAUAGGGGUGAAAGGCCAAUCAAACUUCGUGAUAGCUGGUUCUCUCCGAAAUAUAUUUAGGUAUAGCGUUGUGUCGUAAUAUAAGGGGGUAGAGCACUGAAUGGGCUAGGGCAUACACCAAUGUACCAAACCCUAUCAAACUCCGAAUACCUUAUAUGUAAUCACAGCAGUCAGGCGGCGAGUGAUAAAAUCCGUCGUCAAGAGGGAAACAACCCAGACUACCAGCUAAGGUCCCUAAAUCUUACUUAAGUGGAAAACGAUGUGAAGUUACUUAAACAACCAGGAGGUUGGCUUAGAAGCAGCCAUCCUUUAAAGAAAGCGUAAUAGCUCACUGGUCUAGUGAUUUUGCGCGGAAAAUAUAACGGGGCUAAAGUAAGUACCGAAGCUGUAGACUUGAUUUUAUCAAGUGGUAGGAGAGCGUUCUAUUUGCGCCGAAGGUAUACCGGUAAGGAGUGCUGGAGCGAAUAGAAGUGAGCAUGCAGGCAUGAGUAGCGAUAAUUAAUGUGAGAAUCAUUAACGCCGUAAACCCAAGGUUUCCUACGCGAUGCUCGUCAUCGUAGGGUUAGUCGGGUCCUAAGUCGAGUCCGAAAGGGGUAGACGAUGGCAAAUUGGUUAAUAUUCCAAUACCAACAUUAGUGUGCGAUGGAAGGACGCUUAGGGCUAAGGGGGCUAGCGGAUGGAAGUGCUAGUCUAAGGUCGUAGGAGGUUAUACAGGCAAAUCCGUAUAACAAUACUCCGAGAACUGAAAGGCUUUUUGAAGUCUUCGGAUGGAUAGAAGAACCCCUGAUGCCGUCGAGCCAAGAAAAGUUUCUAAGUUUAGCUAAUGUUGCCCGUACCGUAAACCGACACAGGUGGGUGGGAUGAGUAUUCUAAGGCGCGUGGAAGAACUCUCUUUAAGGAACUCUGCAAAAUAGCACCGUAUCUUCGGUAUAAGGUGUGGUUCGCUUCGUAUUAGGAUUUACUCCGAAAGCGAAGAAACUUACAACAAAGAGUCCCUCCCGACUGUUUACCAAAAACACAGCACUCUGCUAACUCGUAAGAGGAUGUAUAGGGUGUGACGCCUGCCCGGUGCUCGAAGGUUAAUUGAUGGGGUUAGCAUUAGCGAAGCUCUUGAUCGAAGCCCGAGUAAACGGCGGCCGUAACUAUAACGGUCCUAAGGUAGCGAAAUUCCUUGUCGGUUAAAUACCGACCUGCAUGAAUGGCGUAACGAGAUGGGAGCUGUCUCAAAGAGGGAUCCAGUGAAAUUGUAGUGGAGGUGAAAAUUCCUCCUACCCGCGGCAAGACGGAAAGACCCCGUGGACCUUUACUACAGCUUGACACUGCUAUUUGGAUAAGAAUGUGCAGGAUAGGUGGGAGGCUUUGAGUAUAUGACGCCAGUUGUAUAUGAGCCAUUGUUGAGAUACCACUCUUUCUUAUUUGGGUAGCUAACCAGCUUGAGUUAUCCUCAAGUGGGACAAUGUCUGGUGGGUAGUUUGACUGGGGCGGUCGCCUCCCAAAUAAUAACGGAGGCUUACAAAGGUUGGCUCAGAACGGUUGGAAAUCGUUCGUAGAGUAUAAAGGUAUAAGCCAGCUUAACUGCAAGACAUACAAGUCAAGCAGAGACGAAAGUCGGUCUUAGUGAUCCGGUGGUUCUGUGUGGAAGGGCCAUCGCUCAAAGGAUAAAAGGUACCCCGGGGAUAACAGGCUGAUCUCCCCCAAGAGCUCACAUCGACGGGGAGGUUUGGCACCUCGAUGUCGGCUCAUCGCAUCCUGGGGCUGGAGCAGGUCCCAAGGGUAUGGCUGUUCGCCAUUUAAAGCGGUACGCGAGCUGGGUUCAGAACGUCGUGAGACAGUUCGGUCCCUAUCUGCCGUGGGCGUAAGAAGAUUGAAGAGAUUUGACCCUAGUACGAGAGGACCGGGUUGAACAAACCACUGGUGUAGCUGUUGUUCUGCCAAGAGCAUCGCAGCGUAGCUAAGUUUGGAAAGGAUAAACGCUGAAAGCAUCUAAGCGUGAAGCCAACUCUAAGAUGAAUCUUCUCUAAGCUCUCUAGAAGACUACUAGUUUGAUAGGCUGGGUGUGUAAUGGAUGAAAGUCCUUUAGCUGACCAGUACUAAUAGAGCGUUUGGCUUAUCUUUAAUAAAGCAU
rnacentral:rRNA from 1 species